AAGUAAUGAAGUAAAAAAAUAUUACAUUUAGUUUCGACCUAUAAAUAAGAAUUAAUAAUUCCAUGCUUA
rnacentral:tRNA from 1 species